rnacentral:rRNA from 1 species
AUGGUGAAACAUUUAUACAAAACACCUAUACCGAGGACACGCAAGGGAACCGUAGACAGGCAAGUGAAAUCCAAUCCACGAAAUAAUUUGAUCCAUCGAUGGCACCGUUGUGGUAAAGGUCGUAAUUCCAGAGGAAUCAUUACCCCAAGGCACAGAGGGGGAGGUCAUAAGCGCCUAUACCGUAAAAUAGAUUUUCGACGGAAUCAAAAAGACAUAUCUGGUAGAAUCAUAACCUUAGAAUACGACCCUAAUUGA